UCUCUCAUGAUGACGUCACUCUGGGGUAUUGGUAUCGCAAGUGUGUGACACUUUCGUUGUAUGAACUGGCACAUCUACAUAUAUAUAUACUGUAUGGUUAGUGCUACUACGAUAGCUGUAUCGAUAUAUUCAAUGUUGCUGAGAGCACAGUCUGAGCGAGAGAGAGCGUAUCAGAUGAGCAUGUUGCUAGUGUUGUUGUUGAGAGUCAGUCGAGAUUGGACUACGAAAAGAACGCGACGCAAGUGACUUGCUGUGCGACAGCGGUGAAACAAAAAUGGCGGAUGAGAAUCUAGGGAACGAUCAGGGUCUUCAUGCUCCGACAUAUGUAUAUUACAACUGCCUUAUUCAUACGCUCAUGAUUGUAUUGCACCGCUUAAGUAACUAUUUUUACGCGCAUAGCUGUGUUGUUAUUGUUUGUGUCCAAAACAUAGCUGUAAUAUUCUCACACGUAUAGCUAAACACCGCAGCUGCACACGCAUACAACGAUGUGUACCGUUUUGAAUUGGACCGUCGCAUCGCCUGAUCUUUCAAUUCCCUUUUGGCUCGACUUAUUUUGUGGAGUGGAAGUUUUUAGGACAUUUAUAUCGUAGGGCGUCGUUUGGCCCACAAAUUCUCGAUAGGAUUAAGAUCCGGACUCUGGGGGGGCGUGUCAAUCACUUUGUUGCAAUUGUAAAGUAGCCAAGUGCGGCUAAGGAAUGAUUUGUGCUUUGGAUCAUUGUCCUGGUACAGCUUGUUUUUAAGUUUGCUGGUGUUCUGUGGAUCAACGAAGCCAAAAUUCUGCGCACUUUUUGUCAAUUCAUUCCUUAAAAUGUCCAAAUAAAAUUCGUUUGUCAUAAUGUCAUUGAAAAUGCGCAGCUCUCCAACACCUUUGGAAGAAAUACAGCCCCAAACCAUCACUGAAAGCUUGCCAAAUUUCACACUGGGCACAAUGUUCUUCGACUGGAGGGCUGUAUUCGGCUUACGCCAAACUUUUCCAGGCCCAUCAUUAUAAUACAGCAUGAUCUUGGUUUCGUCACAAAAAAUCACGUCGUCCCAGUACGAGAGGCUUGUCAACAUUAAAUAUCGCAAAGUUUAAGCGUUUCCCAAUACUAGCUGUUUCCCAAUACAGCAACGGCUUCUUCCUUGCCACGUGUGAGGAGUAUCUGUGGACAAUUACAGCUUUUCGCACAGUCUCAGGGCAAACGGUCUUGUUUAGAUUAAUUUUUAUAUCAUCGACCAACAUCUCUGAGGCUGCUUGUGUCUUAUUUUCCACGGUUUUCAAUAUUUUCGAGCAAUCCCGCUGAGAAAGCUUUUUUGGUCUGCCGGUAGAGGUCUGCAAUUCCAGCCUAUUUUCUUUUUCCGCACGUUUAAUAAUAUUAUAGACUGUUCUCAACUUAAUAUUAAACAUCUUGGCAACUCUUUAGCUGUGUUUCCUUUGCCAUAAUUAAAAUAUACCAAUUGUAUCAGAUUAUCUUCUGUUCGUUUACCGGGCAUUGCUAAAACUUCAAAUAACACAAGAAACUGAACUGAAUGCAAGAAAAUUUGUAAACAAAUGACUGCAAAGAAGACUUAAGAAAAGCACGCGUCUGGUCGUUUUUGAUUUUGAUGUCCCGUUUGUUUUUCCUUCGUCUUCUUUCAAUCAGUGUUUACAUAUUGCAAAGAAUUAAUAGACAGAGUCAUACAUGCCGCUUUUUUGUUAUUUGCUCCACUGGGUCGAACCCGUCUCUCAUGCCAUUAUAUGAGGGCGGGAUUGCCCGGUGUUGAGCCGCAAUAAAUACGCAAGGAGAAGCAGCCACUCAAAAACCGCAAUUAAAACCGACGACGAACGUGGCCGAGGAGGCCAGGCCAAUUCUACAGAAAACGCAUCCUGGUGGCCGGACCAGCAGCCACUCGGAUGCGGCCAAUAAAUCGAUUCGUUGGCAUCAUUCACACGAUGCCAAUGCCAACACAACGACAAUGCAUCUCGGGUGGCCGGACCAGUGCCACUCGAUUGGAUGCGCCAUCUCACCUGACAGAUGCAACGUGGGCGGCCGGACUAGAGCCGCUCGCCAUCUCCAAAUUUGCCCACGAUGCACGCCAACACCACCAAUCCAGCCAUCGCCAAUAAACAACACACAGGGGGACAACAGAGCCGGCCGGUAUACAGCGUAAUGUUCGCAUUGCGUCUGUUAUGCCCGCCGGUGCUCCGUUGUUGUUUGUCCUCCUGUUAGAAAUAAAAUAAAUAUAAUUAAUAUGUUUAUAUGUUGUAAAUGUAUGUCAAUUAUUGUUUAUUUUA